CCUACGGUGGGCUGCAGUGGGGAAUAUUGGACAAUGGGCGAAAGCCUGAUCCAGCCAUGCCGCGUGUGUGAAGAAGGCCAUCGGGUUGUAAAGCACUUUCAGUGGGGAAGAAAGCCUUGGGGCUAAUACCCUCGAGGAAGGACAUCACCCACAGAAGAAGCACCGGCUAACUCCGUGCCAGCAGCCGCGGUAAUACGGAGGGUGCGAGCGUUAAUCGGAAUUACUGGGCGUAAAGCGCGCGUAGGCGGUCUGAUAAGCCGGUUGUGAAAGCCCCGGGCUCAACCUGGGAACGGCAUCCGGAACUGUCAGGCUAGAGUGCAGGAGAGGAAGGUAGAAUUCCCGGUGUAGCGGUGAAAUGCGUAGAGAUCGGGAGGAAUACCAGUGGCGAAGGCGGCCUUCUGGACUGACACUGACGCUGAGGUGCGAAAGCGUGGGUAGCAAACAGGAUUAGAUACCCCAGUAGUC
rnacentral:rRNA from 1 species